rnacentral:misc_RNA from 1 species
AGUUGGUGCAGAUUUCCAUUCUAUGAGGCUGAUUUUGGGUGGGGAAAGCCCACUUGGGUAGGCACUGCCUUGAAACUCUACAAGGUUGCUAUUUUCAUAGACACCAAAGAUGGUCAAGGAAUAGAAGCGUGGGUUUCCUUGCCUAAGGAAGAUAUGGUGAAGUUUGAACAAAAUCCUGGCAUAUGUGCCUAUUCAUCUUUCAAGCCAAGCACUUAAAUAGUAUAUCAUCUGCUCUUUUUAAGGAGGGGAGAUAAGAACGAGUAAUUUAAUGGCAAAUUUCAUGUACUAUAAGUGCUUAGUUGUGGAUAAUAAGGACGUC